ACUUUGUCUUAUGCAAAAUGAAAAUUACAAUGAUAAAAUGUUUUCCUCUACCUAUGAACAUUUUUCUACAAACGCAUUCUUGAUUUUUCUCCCUUCGGGCGAAGAUUCUUACUGCUCUUCAUGCACCACAACCAUCUGUUAUUCUAUUUUCAUACGCUCACGGAGUUUAUAUAAUCCGUGCAUAUGAUGGAGGAUUUCGAUAUCGUCAACAAGAUACCUGCGUUAUAUGAACUCUGGAAGCGUAGAAUGUGCAAGAGCUGGUGAAACAUCCUUCUGGCAAUGUGUGAUAAGACAUAGGAACCUUUCUGUGGAAACCAGUUAUGUUUGUCCUGAUAUUUUUACCUCUUACUUUUACGUUUGUGUUGCUUUCUAUCAGUGAUCUAAGACCUUCGGUACAGGUAUAGAAGAAAUAUGCUAACAAGAACUCAAUACUGGCAUCAUGAUGCUAAAAAAAGGAAGCACAGAUAAUGUAAAGAAAAUAACUAAGAGUACUAAGAAUGUAAUGUGCUGAAGUAUGUAUGAAAUUUUGAUAUGCUAUUUACAAGAUUUAGCAAGAAGUAUUGUCUAUGUUAGUUUGUUUAAAAAAUUUACUUCUUCAAAAACCAACAGAAUUCCAUGCAUAUUUAACAAAUACUUGAAAUUUAUGAUUUUAAUGCAUUAUAAUAACUUCUUGCAAUGUUAUCUUAAAAUUGUUAGUCCUCAUAUGAUUUUAAUUCAUUAUAAUGGAUAUAUAAACUUGUAAUAUCUCUCAUUACAAAUCAUUAAUUCUUAGUGUUGUGUAUAUUAAGAUUCCAUCUGAGAUAUUUUUUUUUUUACCAAGCAUCUUCAAAUGAUAUAUAAUUUAUUAUAUAGUUAAUUACAUUUUUGAGGAUGAUGUAUUUGUAUACGUAUUUGGUUUUACAGUAUUUAUUACUAUUACUAUUGUAUUUGUAGCUCAAAACUUAAUAUACUGCUUCAAGAAAUAAUACAUUAAAGUUGUUUUAAAUGUUUUUUGACAAGAUUAGUAUUAUAAUAUUACUCUUUUUUAUUAAAAAUGAUGAUACAAAUAUAAAAGUGUUAUGCUUCCUGAAAAUUUCGAGCAGAAUAGCAAAAAAUAAAGAUUAAUUAGAUACAGUCAUAGAUACGAGUAUUUUUUUUAUUACUGCGAAAAAAUUUUUGAUGUAUUCACUAUGCACUUUUUUGUAAUAUAUUCAUGUAAUAAAACCAUUUUUGUAAUAAAUCCA